rnacentral:tRNA from 1 species
GCCCAAAUGGUGAAAUUGGUAGACACGCUAGUUUCAGGGACUAGUGGCCGCAAGGCUGUGCAGGUUCGAGUCCUGUUUUGGGCACAA